CAGGGGCCGCUGCAUCCUCCCAUCGCAAGGCGAGGAAGAAGGAAGAUAUGGUGUGCUUGCACAAACACGGCUUCCCAAAAGUGAUUAGCACGCAGUCUGUCUAAUAGUGAAGCGCACGUGAAGAGGACGGCCUGUCACGCUCACAUGAAACAUAGAAGGCAGACUAUUCUGGUCCUACGAAAAUCCUCAAGCAGAAUGUUCAGCCAUCGGUUCAUGACCUCAAGGCUCAGGCUCUUUCCCUGCCAGAGAGGUGAAGUUCCACGUCCCUAGAGCCGGCUUCUGUAGCCGGGGAUCGGACCGCCAAGGUCCCCGCCUUGGGCCGCCGCCCAACUCGGCAACACGGCGCCCCCAGGUGCAAGGCGCCAAGGGAGCCCACAGGAAGGGAACCGACGUUGCCUCUUCGGGCUGUGCCCGGCUGGGCCCCAUGGUUGCAGGCCCGGCCACCAGGCCACCUCCAAAGGGGGGCACUUGACCCUUCACCCCCCCGGCAAGGGAAAACAUGGUUCAAUAAUUUUUUUUUUAAUUGAGGGUUUUAAGCCGUGCUUUUUCGGGUCAAUCACCUUUGCUUUUAUAUGUAUUAUUAUAUAAAUAUUCUUAUAAUUUAAUUGUAGACGUGUUAUUUACUUGCAUUCCUGAGCAGACUUUUGCUUUGGU